rnacentral:rRNA from 2 species
GAUGAGUAGGGCGGGACACGUGGUAUCCUGUCUGAAUAUGGGGGGACCAUCCUCCAAGGCUAAAUACUCCUGACUGACCGAUAGUGAACCAGUACCGUGAGGGAAAGGCGAAAAGAACCCCGGCGAGGGGAGUGAAAAAGAACCUGAAACCGUGUACGUACAAGCAGUGGGAGCACAGGUUUACCUGUGUGACUGCGUACCUUUUGUAUAAUGGGUCAGCGACUUAUAUUCUGUAGCAAGGUUAACCGAAUAGGGGAGCCGGAGGGAAACCGAGUCUUAAUUGGGCGUUAAGUUGCAGGGUAUAGACCCGAAACCCGGUGAUCUAGCCAUGGGCAGGUUGAAGGUUGGGUAACACUAACUGGAGGACCGAACCGACUAAUGUUGAAAAAUUAGCGGAUGACCUGUGGCUGGGGGUGAAAGGCCAA